rnacentral:lncRNA from 1 species
CGAGUUACUGAGCUCCAGCAGGUCACCUGCUAGGCUGGGAGAAUGGACAGAAUGCAGGUUCCAGACCCAAGAAGGGGUUAGGCAGGGUCACAGGCUACUUCAUCUGCCUCCGUAUCUUUAUGCUAAGCACUGCACCCUCUGACAUUGGAGGGCAAGAAAAGAAAAGGUGUUACAAGGAGGAGGCUAGAACCUAUCCCAGGAGUAAUCUGAGAAUUGAGCCAGUGGUUGACAACCAUCCUAGGAAGUAUUUGGAAAUGUGUGGAGACAUGGUACGGUGGACACAAUGAUAGGGAGGGGCACUGUAGGUGGGAGCCAGAGAUGGUGAGCAUCCCAAAAGUGCAGAAGAUCCCAAAGCCAAGAGCAUCCACUGAGAUAUACUGAAGUCAGUUCCAUCUACCCCAGCUGCUCUGACCAUACCUGAACCACUGUACUCAGCACAAAGCCACAACAAAUGUGGAAGGCAGGGAAGAACCAAGAGUUGCAAGAAGAAAAAAAAUACAACAUGCCCAAAAGGUGGUGAUGAGGAAAAGGGGAAACUUAGAGGCAGAUUGGGGCCAAAAACCUAUAGACAACAGCUAGCAGGAUUUACCAAUGAGAACGGCAAGCAGCUUCUCAAAGAGGGAUGCCCCUGCCAACACGGAUGCUGAGCUGCAGCAGGAUGUCUUCAGCUGGAGGGCGCUCUUGAGCCCAUCAGCAGCCAAGGUCUACCUGUCCUACCUCCAAGCCUCUUGUGCUCGUCACUUCCUCUCCACUGCCACGAUGUGGCCACACCUCUCAUAGCUCAACUCAUCUCAUCCACCCCACGAUUCACCUUGGGUCUCUAGGGUCCCAGGUUUGCCAUUUACCACCACGGGCAAGGGUAAUCAAGUUUUUAAAAUGAAAAUAAAGGAUUGCUGAAUAAAUGAACAACCAGAGAGGCGGCCACCAGCCAAGGACAAACAAAGCUGAAUCUGGAACACUGGCUUCCUGCUGUCCUCUCAGACUAAACGCAGACAAAUAAACGUCACCUUACCUACCCACCAGUGUCUCAGCAAGGAAGGAGAGAGAGAAGGAAACGUCACCUUACCUACCCACCAGUGUCUCAGCAAGGAAGGAGAGAGAGAAGGAGGUGAAAGUGCACUGAAGACCUAAUACACAAUGUAUACUUAAGCGGGACUGUCAGGGGACAAAGAACCAGAGCCAGUGGACAAAACCUCCGUUCCCAAACUCCAAGCCACCAAUGGAAGGCCUCACAUAGGAAGCUGUGGGUGGAAGAUGGUGCGUUUCUACUGCCUGGUGGUUUUAGAUCUCUAUCGCCUACUCAGAAUCUGAACCCUAGCCUGUGUGUGUGAGAGGCUGCACGUGCACAUACAAAAACAGCAAGGUAUCUACAAGGGGGGUCAGGAUUGCAGAGGGGCUACCUGUGUGAGCUCUGGAGCCCAACUGCCUGCCUGGGAAUCCCAGCUUACCCACUGACUAGCUGUGUGACUCAGGGCAAGUUCUUUAACCACUCUGUGCCUCUGUCUGCACCUCACUCUCCUUGCCCCUAAAACAGGGGUAAGCAAAGUACCCACCUCCCAGGAUUUUUGUGAGGCUAAAAUGAGAUAACACCUAGCACACUUGCCAGACAAGAAAAGUUCUAUUUUUCCCCAGCACAAUGUUAAUAGGGUUGCCUCUGGGAUUUUGUGUGCUUUUCUUUUUCUUCUUCAUUAAUUAAAUUUUCUACAUGAAUGUGCAUGCUUUAUUGUCAGCAAAGAAUAAAGCUUUUUUUUUUUUUUUUUUUUUGAUGGGGUAGGAAGAACAGCUCAGAAUCCCAAGUAACCCUUUCUUUUAAACACAGAGGAUGGAAGCAGCCCUCUCUCUGCUGGUCUAUUUUAGGAUCUUCUGGAUGGGCAAGGAGUUCUACUGCCCAAAGCAGCCCAACCUUUUCUGCUCCCUGAUUCCCAGCGUACCCCUUCCCCACCUCUGCCCAUCCAGAAAAACUCAAAUCUCACCUCCUCCAAGAAGCCCUCGCUGCUAGCUCAGCACCUCUCUUCCUCCUGGGGAACAAGGCCUUUCCUCACUCUGCCCUCCCCUAGCUGGCACUAUCCACUCCAGAGGUCUUGUACCGGUCUCUGUUCCAGGGGCAAGGGGUUUGCCAAGACCCCAGCACAGCGGUCUUGAGGGGCAGGGCCACCUUCCUUCCUAUGUCCUUUCAAAGCACUCGCUCUGCUUUUCUUCUUGGAACUUCGAUACAACCUUAUGAGAGGUGGACAUGGGUUCAGGGAAGAAAAGUGAUGAGCAGGUCACACUGCUGGACUUAACCCCAGUCUGACCAAGUCCAUCAGGGCUCACUCUGCAGCCCCAGGCUGCUUCCCAUGGGAGGCUCACAGCAGGCACUCAGCUGACAGACCCUCACCCGCAGGGCAGCACUGCCCUGGCCCAUCAUACAUCUCUUCCUCCACCCUGUCCCCGCCAAUGCC